rnacentral:rRNA from 1 species
UACGGGGGGGGCAAGCGUUGUUCGGAAUUACUGGGCGUAAAGGGCUCGUAGGUGGCCAACUAAGUCGGACGUGAAAUCCCUCGGCUUAACCGGGGAACUGCGUCUGAUACUGGAUGGCUUGAGUUCGGGAGAGGGAUGCGGAAUUCCAGGUGUAGCGGUGAAAUGCGUAGAUAUCUGGAGGAACACCGGCGGCGAAGGCGGCAUCCUGGACCGAUACUGACGCUGAGGAGCGAAAGCCAGGGGAGCAAACGGG